rnacentral:lncRNA from 1 species
AAAAAAGAAUGGCCUAAUAUGUGUUACAUAUGCAGGAGGAAAAAUCAAAAAUUUGUUGAAAAUUGUCUGGUGCAGAGGCCUACAGACCCCAUUGACGGUCUGUCUCUUGAUCGACAGAACUUAAAGGACGUAUGCUGAUCGCAGGUAAGCCUUGAAAUAUUUCUAAAUAUCAGCAUGAUCGAUGUUCCAAUCGACGGAUCGUCAACCGAACACAGACCGUCAAUGGUGUCCGUAGAUCCCAAGUAAGCUAUACAAAUUUUCUAUGUCUAAGAGUGAUUGACGGACCUUCGAUCAAUCCAAAGAUCAUAGACGGGGACUCGUGGAUCAAGUUGGCCAGUGAACCGACCCUACCCAGACGGUUAUAUUAAAACCCCAAUCUUUCAAAUUCUUUCCCUCUUUCCAAUUUCUUUCAAACUUUUUUGCAUAAUCGUUUCACCCCAUCAAAUUCCUCCUGAAAUCACUCCCCAAUUGAAUACCACAUCUCCCAAAACCAUAUGUGUACUUAUUUCUCCAAAUCUCAAACAUUCUUUCCCAAAUUCUCUCAUCCUCUAUCCUCCAAAGUCCGGUCAUCGGGUUCGGAAAGCGUCGGCCACUUCUUUAGGUUGUAUAUCACUGUAGGCACACAAUCACAACACUUUUCACUGCUUGUAAGGUAAUUCGAUUUCCCCUCACUUAGAAUUCCCGUUCAUAAAUUAUUAUAGGAAGUCGAGAGUGGGUCUUGGUGUUGGGACUAAAUUGAAUCACUUUGCUUGCUAAAAAUCGCGUAGUAACUUCUCUUAGGAUAUUAGACAAUGGUAGUGUAGCAAUUUAACUACCUAAACCGUUGUGUGGCUAAGUCUUCGUGUACGUUUUGACCUAGGGUUCCAAUUUUUACUCAAUUGGGUUAGAUAUUGGUACGAAAUAGCAACCUCGGGAAUGAGGAAUUAACAUAUUAUGUGUUGAAAAUUAUUUUUAAACUUGAUUGUGUUAAAAUGGGUCACUAAAAUAUUUCGGAAAUUGAACUUGAAACAGGCCUGAAAUCUGUCACAUGUUAAAGUACGAGACAGUUCUAUGAACCGUCAUUCAAUCGAUAGGCCAUCAUUAAACACACUCAAAAAUAAAUUGAUGUGUCAUACGAUAGAUGUGGACUACGGUCCGUUUAUUGAUCGACGGGCCAUUCUGCAGAUCCUUCGUUUCUAUCAAAGAAUCUAUUUUUACCCAAACGAAGGACGAUUUCUACAGACCAUAGAUAACUUUAUGGACCUUUGAUAAAUCUCAUUGAACUAAACUUGCAGUCAAGAUUUGUAUUUUUUUUCUUUUCAUGUUUUAUUCUUUUCGUUGUUAUACAAGUGUGUCGUCAAUCUUCAAGGAUACUAACAAUUACUCAAUAGGUACAAUGACCCCGAAGAUGAAAUUAGUGUACUCAAAGAAAGGCAAAUCCAAGUCAUUUUCCCCGUCUUAUCAAUUGAUCAAUGAAGACAAUGAUACAGAGCAGGACCAAUCCUAUGUUCCUUCUCGUAUGCAAACACCACCAGCAUCAUCCCGAUAACCUAGGAGCAACCUACGGAAGGUGCACCUUGACUUAGUCACUACCUCCCUAAAUGAGGAGCACACAUUGACCAAUUCACAAACAGGGGAUGCGUCCAGUUCAGAGGGGCCUCAAUAUCAAGCUCUGAGUCCGCCAUAACUUCAGGUUCAGGGUUAGCCAGUCUUCAAUGUCCAAGUCGGCCACUAACACUGAUUCCAACUUUCAGGGAGCCACGAGAUCAGGGGGUCAAGAACAACAAGGCAUGUCUGAUGAGGCCACUAGUUUGGAUUUUGCACCUGCACCCUAAACAAAUUACUCCACCCUUGUUGUAGAUGAACUAAACAUGUGAUGUGUGGAUGGGAAAUUAUAGGUAUAUAGAGAUGCAAAGAUGCUCAAUAAGAAAGGGGUGAUGACUCAAUUGAAUAAUGAGGAGCGUAGAGUUCUCACCGGGAUUUUUCAUAUAGUUUUAGAGGUGCAAAGACUCCUUAAUCUCUAAAAAUCCGACUGGAUGGAUCAGGACUUGGACCCAUAUAGUGAGGAGAUUGUUCGGGAGUUCUAUGGCUCUUAUCUUGCUACCCUCCAGGGGUCUAUCCACAACCGGGCCAAACUCACAAAGCAAGACCCUCUCACAUACACCAUCUGUCGAUUCCUAUAUAGUCCCACCACCGGUAUAACAUGGAGCCUCAACAGCGUAGAGUUCGGUUACUGGUGGGAUACAAUAUGAGGAGGAGAUCUUCAGAGAAACGCAGAGAAGAAGGAGGCAGUGAAACUGUGGUUAGCUCAAUAUAUUGUAGUAGCUGGGGAGAUGGCUGACUGGGUUAUAAAUCCCUGAGGGCUCAUAAAAGAGACUACAGUCACUUUUGUGGACAAAUUUUUCUGGAUGUUGGUCCGACACCGAGUAUCACCCACAAAGGCCGACAAUGUACUUACAUGGGAUAGGGCGGAGAUGGUGGCAACACUGGUAGUUGGGCUGGAGAUAAACUUUGCAUGAAAGAUUUUAGUGGAGAUAUGCGAGAGUAAAUUUAAGACCUCAACCACUUACCCCUUUCUGUAUCUUAUCUAUUGGAUAUAGAGGGACGUUGGAGUGCCAAUUUGUCACUGUGACCCACUCCGUCGACUUACCGGGACAUUGGAUAUAAGACUCAUAAAAGAUGAGGAUAAUAUAGCGGCACACCAUAGAGGGCCUCGGAAUGAGGUUCCCCAGUUGUGUGAAAAUUUGGUAGAUAGAGUGGAGCUAGCCCAAGACGCUGAUCCUUCUGUAUAAGAGCAUGAUGACCCCAUUCAGGACUCCUCUUCGGAUGCAGCCAACAAGCCCCCCAGCUCAUCCAGAUCCAUACCACCACCUGCAGCACUGAUCCCUUUAGCUUGAGUCUAAAAGUUGUAGGUGCAGAUUACCACCUUGCUCCAUCAUAAUCAUCCAUGGAUGCAGAUAUCCAUAGCCGAUGCAGAAGACCACAUGUAGAAGCGGGUGGCCAAGCAGGAAAAGCAAUACAUUAAAGAAGUCCACAAAUUCCUUGAUGCAUCCGAGCUACGUGUUAUAGCACGACCAACACCCACCACUGACCUCACUGCCAUACAAAUUGAGUAGGCCAGCUUUCGAGCCAAUGUUGAUACCAUUUUAGAGAUUCAAGGAGCUGAGCCAGAGAUUGGUCGCACUGAACUAGCUGAGGACACUAUGCUUGAAGCCUUAUUCAAGCUACCUGUUGAGACACAAUCCGAGCCACAUGUUUGUAGAACGAGGCACUGCUCCAGCCACAUCACUAAGGUGGAUGAUGAGACCCGUCUAAGAAAGAAGGAGCGGACGGAGAUGGGGCAGUCUAGGAAGUCCUCGCUAAUGGAUGAGGAGAUACGCCUUAAGAAGGCACAAAAGAUAGUUGCUGGGGCAUCCAACUCUAUUCUUGAGAGCGGACCGAGUAGAACUAUUGAUGGUGUUGAGAUAGAGGAGGAUGAAACUACUGAUGGUUCCAUCCUUAGAGAUGUGGGCACUACUAAAGGAAGCACAAUUUCAAAUCCAAUGGGCUCCGAGAGACUAGACCCACCCACUUGUUGAGAGAUCUUCGGUGUUAUACGCCACAUGUUUGUUUCACCUAAUACCACACUGUCACUAAUUUCAUAUAAAUUAGGGACAAUUAAAAAAACAAAUUGUUAGGGGUGGAGUAAAUGGAUUGCAAGUGGUAGAAUAAUGUCUUAGUAGCCCAAGUCAUGAUCCUCUCUUGAGGUUUUCUUGCCCGUUUUCUUUUUCCCCAAAAGACUGCUUAAAUUUCUAUUGGAUCGACAUGUAUUAGUGGGUAGAAGUGUAGAGGCAUGAAAGACAAAAAAAAAUGAUGGCUAAUAAAUAAUGAUACCCGCUCCCAUUGUAAUUUUUGCAUAUAAAGGUUAAGAUAAGUUUAAUGUGUUGGUUCUAAACAUGACAUAAAAAGACACUCACUACAUAACCUUCCACUAAAACCUGAACUGGGAAAUCUUAUAAUCUGACAAUGAAAUGAUGUUCCAAGAGAGUGUGAGGAUAUUCGAGUGUUUAACUGUUGGUGCCUAACUAGAACUUUUCGGGUUAGUACUGCAAAAGGAAUCUACUCAAGUUGACCAAAUAAAAUAACUGUCCCUUAUGAUCCAAAUAUGUCGAGCCUAUAAUAGACCAAUUUUUUUGCUUCACUAACUCUACUUCCCAGGGUCUAUUUUUUUCCCUAGUGUCUCCUUGGACAUAUGCACCUCAACUUAGGCCAAAAUCCUAAGUUUAGGGUCGCUAAUGUAGAAAGUGACCUUAUCUUGGACCUUACCUGACCUCGGGUAUUUUGUACUUCAACCAUAGAAAAGUCAUGAGUUAAUGGUGACUAUUAUGAGAGAAGACCCAAAAAUGGGUAUGAAAAGAGUUGGAUGUUUAAAAUAAAAUCUUAAGUAAGAGAAAUAUGAGACUUGUCAAAAAAUAAAAAAUCUGUUGAAAAACAAAUAAUGAAAGUCACAUCUAAAAAUGGAAAUAAGGCAAAGGAAAGAAGAGAAAACAAAUAGGGGGUCAAAAGCAAUAAAAAAAGGUAAAUAGCUUAGCGGUAAUGUCAAGAAGGUCAGGAAGUCACUUAAUGUACCUAAAUGUACCACACCUGACCCCGAGCCUACAUUACAAUCAAAGAAAGUCCUACCGUGAUCCUAAAGUCUACUGUAGUUAACCUAAGCAGCAAAAAUAAGGGCAAGCCUAUGGCAUGGAGCACUAACAUUAUUUGAACUCAUUCCUGAGUGUGAUGUUGAACAAAGAUCCUUGUACCCAAAAUGCAAUAUCACUAUGUGAAAACUGAGAUUUCUUUUAUAGUGAGGACACUAGUUGCAUUAUGUGAAAGUUGGUACCUUGGUGAGAGGAAAAACAAUAGAGGUGUCUGUUGCAUGGUGAAUUUGUGUCAUGAUGUGAUCUGUAUGUGUCGGCUUAUCGAUCCUUAGAGAAUAGGCCUGCAAUCAAUCAAUAAAGAGUCAAGAUAGAUAGUUAGAUGAUUGCUAGAGCUUAGAGUGUCUACUCCUAUACAAAUAUCGUUUAGGGUCAUGGUGUGUCUCUUGAGGAAAAAUAACGAAUUUGAGUUGAGGGUGUUGAUAUACCAUGAUUUCACGGUAUUUUUAAUUCAUUUCACUUAAGAGUUUUGUGUGUGUAUAUCCAAGUGGUUUUAACAAGUUUUGUGUAUUGUUUGGCAGGAAAGAUGUUCACGCUAAAAAUGGAGAAGAUAAUUGAUAAAAGUGCAGAAAUAGACUUACGGAGGUAAUCGAUAGACCGUAGUUGGUGAUCGUAGAUAGGAAAAUUGGAAAACGAAGAAAAAUCAGGAAAGUCUAAGUAUAGAAUCACGAGAGGAAUCGACGAUCCAUUGACUGAUCGAUAGACUGUACUAGUGAGCUAUCAUUUAAUUCAAUACCUGAUUUUUGAAGAUUCUAAGCAUCGAACAAUGGAUGAGCAUCGACG